GAUGAAGAACGUAGCGAAAUGCGAUAAGUAGUGUGAAUUGCAGAAUUCAGUGAAUCAUCGAAUCUUUGAACGCACAUUGCGCCCCUUGGUAUUCCAUGGGGCAUGCCUGUUCGAGCGUCAUCUACACCCUCAAGCUCUGCUUGGUGUUGGGCGUCUGUCCCGCCCCCGCGCGUGGACUCGCCCCAAAUCCAUUGGCAGCGUUCCUUGCCCCCUCUCGCGCAGCACAUUGCGCUUCUCGAGGGCGGCUCCGGGACGCGAUCCAGCAAGAUGACCAACGUCUUUGACCUCGGAUCAGGUAGGGAUACCCGCUGAACUUAAGCAUAUCAAUAAGCGGAGGA
rnacentral:misc_RNA from 1 species